GUUCUUUUGUAUUUUAUAUAAGAUCAGGCCUGCCCGUUGAUUAUAAGAAUUGAAAGGCUGCGGUAUUUUAACUGUACGAAGGUAGCAUAAUCAUUUGUCUUUUAAUUGAAGGCUAGUAUGAAUGGUCUCAUGAAAGAAAAACUUUCUUUAUUUAAAUAUUUUGAAUUUAACUUUUUAGUUAAAAGGCUAAAAUUUUUUUAUUGGACGAGAAGACCCUUUAGAAGUUUAUUUUAUUUAUUAAUAAAAAUAUUUAGUUUAUUAAUUUUUUUUUAUGAAUAUAAAAUUCUGUUGGGGUGAUAUUAAAAUUUUUAAAACUUUUAAUUUUUAUUUUCAUAUCUUUAUGUAUUUUUUGAUCCAAUUUUUGUUUUUGAUUAUAAGAUUAACUUACCUAAGGGAUAACAGCGUAAUUUUUUUGGAGAGUUCUUAUCGAUAAAAAAGUUUGCGA
rnacentral:rRNA from 1 species